AAUUGAAGAGUUUGAUCAUGGCUCAGAUUGAACGCUGGCGGCAGGCCUAACACAUGCAAGUCGAACGGUAACAGGAAGCAGCUUGCUGCUUCGCUGACGAGUGGCGGACGGGUGAGUAAUGUCUGGGAAACUGCCUGAUGGAGGGGGAUAACUACUGGAAACGGUGGCUAAUACCGCAUAACGUCGCAAGACCAAAGAGGGGGACCUUCGGGCCUCUUGCCAUCAGAUGUGCCCAGAUGGGAUUAGCUUGUUGGUGAGGUAACGGCUCACCAAGGCGACGAUCCCUAGCUGGUCUGAGAGGAUGACCAGCCACACUGGAACUGAGACACGGUCCAGACUCCUACGGGAGGCAGCAGUGGGGAAUAUUGCACAAUGGGCGCAAGCCUGAUGCAGCCAUGCCGCGUGUAUGAAGAAGGCCUUCGGGUUGUAAAGUACUUUCAGCGGGGAGGAAGGUGUUGUGGUUAAUAACCGCAGCAAUUGACGUUACCCGCAGAAGAAGCACCGGCUAACUCCGUGCCAGCAGCCGCGGUAAUACGGAGGGUGCAAGCGUUAAUCGGAAUUACUGGGCGUAAAGCGCACGCAGGCGGUCUGUCAAGUCGGAUGUGAAAUCCCCGGGCUCAACCUGGGAACUGCAU
rnacentral:rRNA from 3 species